CCAUUAUGAUUCUUCUGGAGAGUUUCUACCAUGGUAACGUUUCAAGGACAGAUUCCAUGCUCUGAGGAAGUCUCUCCUUUAUGACUCAGAGGACCUAGGGGAAGAUGUGUUGAACUCAGUUUUGCUUUGGGAUGGAAGACGAUUUCGCGUGUCAGUAGAACUCCAUCUAAGAACAUCUGGAGACGUUCAAAGAACAUGAAAAGAGCUGGGCUGAAUAAAACUGCCACCUCAAAGGGAGACACAUCUUUCAAAAACUCCUUGGCCCAGAUGGCAGCAGCCCCAUUUCCCAUUCACUGAUGGAUGAAAAGUAUCUGUGUUGUCAGAAGGAACUAUAUCCAGGCUAUCCUGAAUUGAGAAUGGGAAUAUGCUUGGGAGCUGGGCUUUCAACGUACGAAUUUGGACCACAGGCUAACAAACACAGCUGGAAACUCACAGGUCUGAAAAAUCCCAGGAAUUGUGCAAUUUCAACCGUUAUAUGGGGCAUAAGUGCCGGUGGUUGCUUGAAGCUUAAAUGAAGAACAUGCUUCUUUGCCUGUUUCAGCAGCCUGACAAAUGCCAUUCUCCUCCAGCAUUGGACCCU